rnacentral:tRNA from 1 species
CGUUCAUUGGCGAUUAUAACGGAACAUGAGGCUCAUAACCUGAAGGCCGCAGGUUCAAAUCCUGCCCCCGCAACCA